CGCGGUUAUACCAAGUGAUUAAGUUAUACUUCUAGGUAAAAAGACGGUUAGGCUUUACUUUAACUAUAUUAGUCUGUUGAACAUCUAUAAAAAAGUAAAAUUUGUAUAUAGAUAGCUAAUCUAGCAAUGGCUAACAUGCUGAAGCCGUGAUAGUCUUGAGGGAAACUGGGAUUAGAUACCCCAUUAUUCUUGACUGUAAAUAUAAUUAAAUUUACCAGAGUACUAUGAAUAGUUAAAAAUUUAAAACUCAAAGGGCUUGGCGGUGUUUUAGACCCAUCAGGGGAACCUGUCUCGUAAUCGACAAUCCACGUUGUACCUAACCCUAAUUUGUACUCAGUUUGUAUACCGUCGUCGUCAGGUAACUUUUAAAAAUAUAGAAGUUAGCAGUAAGAAUUAAGUAAAUUAAGACGUCAGAUCAAGGUGCAGCUUAUAGUAGGGAGAGGAUGGGUUACAAUUAUGAGAUUUAUAACCACGGAGAAUUACAUGAAACUGUAUUUUGAAGGAGGACUUGAAAGUAAACUGUAAUAUAUAAACGGUUUGAAUAAGGCUCUG
rnacentral:rRNA from 1 species